UGUUAUCAAUCUUGGUGACUUCUCGUUUUUAGUAACAUGUGUUUUUGAAAUUCACCUAAAUGCACUCAAUUUACAAGUUGGGUUGAUAUCUCAACAUUUGUAUGAUGUAUGGGAUUUAAAAUUGUUUUGUACGUACACAACAAUGCAAUCCUAAUAGCUGAUCCACCCCUGAGAUUCCAACCCAGCCCAAUAUAUAGGCUGGUUUCGCCCCUUUUGAAUUGAUUGCACAGAAGAAAGAGGGCAUUUUAAGAUCAAACUGUCAAAGUUCUGGUAAAACAGCCCCUUUGAGUUCACCUGAAGUAACUUGUUGAGAAGCAGUGGAGGAACAACUUGUCAGCACUCCAAUAUAUAAGCCAAUUCAGAAGCUCAUCAAAUUCAUCAAUAUGUUGUUUUUGCUUGGAUGAAAACAUGUGGGAUGGGGUUAUAGUACCAAGGUGAGAGGCGUGGGCUUGGGGGAAUAUUUUUUUGAUGGAGCAAUUGGAGAGCAUUAAGGAAACCCCCACUUUUCAGAAGGGGGAGAGAAAAAAAAUUCAAACUUUGAUGUCUAUGUGCUGAUUACAACACGCACUACACAAAGUACAACUGAGAGAACACAACAGAACAGAGUUUAAAGACUGAUUGACAGACAAGGGAACAAGAAACCUAUGUUUUGAAAACCUUUUUUUUUUGGUUAGGACUCUUGAAGUGUAAUUAUGUUCUCUCUGUUUGGUAAGCCUUUUGAACGCUUUGUAUUUUGAAAGAAAUAGUGAUUUCAGAAGUUGUGUUUUGAAAACUUUAAAAAAAAAAAAAAUGCAAUUAAGCCUUUGAUAAAAUCUUUGCAAAAUGUUGUUUCUGUGAAAGAAAACACAGUUUUCUGGAAAAUUUUGAAAAAAAAAAAAAAAAAAAAAAAAAA